rnacentral:rRNA from 1 species
AUUAAACGCUGGCGGCAUGCCUUACACAUGCAAGUCGAACGGUAGCGCGGGGCAACCUGGCGACGAGUGGCGAACGGGUGAGUAAAGCAUCGGAACGUGCCCUGGAAUGGGGGAUAACGUAGCGAAAGUUACGCUAAUACCGCAUAUUCUGUGAGCAGGAAAGCAGGGGAUCGCAAGACCUUGCGUUCUGGGAGCGGCCGAUGUCGGAUUAGCUAGUUGGUGGGGUAAAAGCCUACCAAGGCGACGAUCCGUAGCGGGUCUGAGAGGAUGAUCCGCCACACUGGGACUGAGACACGGCCCAGACUCCUACGGGAGGCAGCAGUGGGGAAUUUUGGACAAUGGGCGGAAGCCUGAUCCAGCCAUGCCGCGUGAGUGAAGAAGGCCUCGGUUGUAAG